rnacentral:rRNA from 1 species
CACAUGACUCUCGGCAACGGAUAUCUCGGCUCUCGCAUCGAUGAAGAACGUAGCGAAAUGCGAUACCUGGUGUGAAUUGCAGAAUCCCGCGAACCAUCGAGUCUUUGAACGCAAGUUGCGCCCGAGGCCACUCGGUCGAGGGCACGCCUGCCUGGGCGUCACGC